rnacentral:rRNA from 1 species
AAAUUGAAGAGUUUGAUCAUGGCUCAGAUUGAACGCUGGCGGCAGGCCUAACACAUGCAAGUCGAACGGUAACAGGAAGAAGCUUGCUUCUUUGCUGACGAGUGGCGGACGGGUGAGUAAUGUCUGGGAAACUGCCUGAUGGAGGGGGAUAACUACUGGAAACGGUAGCUAAUACCGCAUAACGUCGCAAGACCAAAGAGGGGGACCUUCAGGCCUCUUGCCAUCGGAUGUGCCCAGAUGGGAUUAGCUUGUUGGUGGGGUAACGGCUCACC